rnacentral:tRNA from 1 species
GCGCCCGUAGCUCAGCAGGAUAGAGCAGUCGGUUCCUAACCGACAGGUCGCAGGUUCGAAUCCUGCCGGGCGCACCA